GGUCGCGCUGUGAUUUGACUAUAUAAUUAGUGACGUAUCCUACUAUGUUAUGUAGGAUACGUCACUAAUUAUAUAGUCAAAUCACAGCGCGAC